rnacentral:rRNA from 1 species
GGGCCCGCACAAGCAGUGGAGUAUGUGGUUUAAUUCGAAGCAACGCGAAGAACCUUACCAGGGCUUGACAUGCAGAGGAAUGCACCAGAGAUGGUGCAGCUUUUCGGAGCCUCUGUGCAGGUGGUGCAUGGUUGUCGUCAGCUCGUGUCGUGAGAUGUUGGGUUAAGUCCCGCAACGAGCGCAACCCCUGUUGCUAGUUGCCAUCAUUAAGUUGGGAACUCUAGCGAGACUGCCGGUGACAAAUCGGAGGAAGGUGGGGACGACGUCAAAUCAUCAUGCCCCUUAUGUCCUGGGCUACACACGUACUACAAUGGCUAUUACAGAGGGAAGCUAAGCCGUAAGGUGGAGCGAAACCCCAAAAAUAGUCCCAGUUCAGAUUGUGGGCUGAAACUCGCCCACAUGAAGUUGGAAUUGCUAGUAAUGGCAGGUCAGCAUACUGCCGUGAAUACGUUCCCGGGCCUU